rnacentral:rRNA from 1 species
UACGAAGGGGGCUAGCGUUGUUCGGAAUUACUGGGCGUAAAGCGCACGUAGGCGGCUCUUUAAGUCGGAGGUGAAAUCCUGGAGCUCAACUCCAGAACUGCCUUCGAUACUGAAGAGCUCGAGUCCGGGAGAGGUGAGUGGAACUGCGAGUGUAGAGGUGAAAUUCGUAGAUAUUCGCAAGAACACCAGUGGCGAAGGCGGCUCACUGGCCCGGUACUGACGCUGAGGUGCGAAGGCGUGGGGAGCAAACAGG